UGGGGAAUUUUGGACAAUGGGGGAAACCCUGAUCCAGCCAUCCCGCGUGUGCGAUGAAGGCCUUCGGGUUGUAAAGCACUUUUGGCAGGAAAGAAACGUCAUGGGCUAAUACCCCGUGAAACUGACGGUACCUGCAGAAUAAGCACCGGCUAACUACGU
rnacentral:rRNA from 1 species